rnacentral:rRNA from 1 species
AUCUUCCACAAUGGGCGAAAGCCUGAUGGAGCAACGCCGCGUGAGUGAUGAAGGCCUUCGGGUCGUAAAGCUCUUUGAUCAGGGAAGAUAAUGACCGUACCUGAGAAACAAGCCACGGCUAACUCAGUGCCAGCAGCCGCUGUAAUACGUCGGUGGUGAGCGUUGUCCGGAAUUACUGGGCGUAAAGGAUGCGUAGGUGGAUACUUAAGUGGGAUGUGAAAUCCCCGGGCUCAACCCGGGAACUGCAUUCCAAACUGGGUAUCUAGAGUGCAGGAGAGGAAAGCGGAAUUCCUAGUGUAGCGGUGAAAUGCGUAGAUAUUAGGAGGAACACCAGUGGCGAAGGCGGCUUUCUGGACUGUAACUGACACUGAGGCAUGAAAGCGUGGGUAGCAAACAGG